ACCAUAAUGGUUUUUUGUAAAGCUCGAAUCUUUGGAUAAAUCAUUCCAUUGUUUACAAGUUAAUUUCACUGCUUUCAAAGAUGUUAUUGGAACCCUAGAGAGUAUCUCUUCUACCAAAUCCGGGAAAAGAUCAGACAUCGUCGACAUUUUUUCAAAUAGAGAUUAGGGUUUUCUACUUUCACGCUUGCCCACACUACUUUUUUUUU
rnacentral:sRNA from 1 species